AUUCCGGCCUUAAACACCCCCAAUGGUCUCGUGUCCAUCCCGUGUCCAUCCCGUGUCAAUCCCGUGUCCAUCACACUGUUACUGCUGAUUCCGGCCUUAAACACCCCCAAUGGUCUCGUGUCCAUCCCAUGUCCAUCCCGUGUCCAUCCCGUGUCCAUCCCGUGUCCAUCCCGUGUCCGUCACACUGUUACUGCUGAUUCCAGCCUUAAACACCCCCCAUUGGUCUCAUGUCCAUUCUGUGUCCAUCCCGUGUCCAUCCCGUGUCCAUCUCAUGUCCAUCCCGUGUCCAUCCCGUGUCCAUCCCAUGUCCAUCCCAUGUCAGUCACAUGCUGUUACUGCUGAUUCCGGCCUUAAACAUCCCCUUAAACAUCCCUGUGUCCGUCCCGUGUCCAUCCCGUGUUGAAUUCCUGCUGAUUCCGGCCUUAAAGCCCCGGUCCCGUGGCUCCCGUGUCCGUCCUGUGUCCGUCCCAUGUCGGGGUCUCGUGUCAUCACGUGUUGGUUCCGUGUCGGUCCUGGUGGUGCCUUAUCCCGUGUCAGUCCCGUGUCAGUCCCGUGUCACCCCUCCCUGGAUUCGCUGCUGGUUCUGCCUUAAUCCCUUUUAAAUCCCGUGACAAUCCCGUGUCUGUCCCGUGUCACUCCCGUGUCGUUCCCGUGUCGUCCCUCUCCCCGUGUUCCCUGCCAAUGGUGCCUUAAUCCCACGGGAAUCCCGUGUCAAUCCCAUGUAAAUCCCAUGUCAAUCCCACGGGAAUCCCGUGUCAAUCCCAUGUAAACCCCCUGUCAAUCCCAUGUAAAUACCAUGUCAAUCCUACGGGAAUCCUGUGUCAAUCCCAUGUAAAUCCCGUGUCAAUCCCAUGGGAAUCCCAUGUCAAUCCUACUGGAAUCCCGUGUCAAUCCCAUGUAAACCCCAUGUCAAUCCCAUGUAAAUCCCGUGUCAAUCCCAUGGGAAUCCCGUGUCAAUCCUACUGGAAUCCCGUGUCAAUCCCAUGUAAACCCCAUGUCAAUCCCAUGUAAAUCCCGUGUCAAUCCCAUGUAUUUCCUGUGUCAAUCCCAUAUAAAUCCCGUGUCAAUCCCAUGUAAAUCCCAUGUCAAUCCUGUGUAGUCCAGCCCGAGUUUAUCCCAUGUAAAUCCCGUGUCAAUCCCGUGUAAGUCCCAUGUCAAUCCCAUGUCAAUCCCGUGUAGUCCAGCCCGAGUUUAUCCCGUGCCAAUCCCGUGUCAUUCCCGUGUUGUUCCCGUGUCAAUCCUUCCCUCCAUCCCCCCCCCCGUCCAGGGCAUUAAUUACCCCCCGUUAACGAGCCACAAACUCUCAGGACAAGGGGCCAGUGACCUCCCCCCUCCUGGGCUAAUUAGCCCCCAUCUCUUAAUUAUUCCAGGCCAAUUCGCCCCCAUCUCUUAAUUAUUCUGGGCUAAUUAGCCCCUCUCUGUUAAUUAUCCCGGGCUAACUGAUCUCCCUGGGUUAAUUAGCCUCGUGGGUUAAUUAUUCGGGGUUGGUCGCCCCGUGGAUUGAUUAGUCAGGGCUAAUUGGCCCAACUGCCUGAUUAUUCGAGGUUAAUUAGCCCACCCCAAUAAUUCGUUCCAGGUUAAUUGUUAUCGAUGAUUCCAGAU
ensembl:lncRNA